AUGUUAUGUUUUUGCAAGGCAGAGGAGGGGUCUAAAAAACAAUUCUGCCCAUCAACCGUUCCUCCUGCUUCUCAGUCCAGAUGAAUGACUCCAUGCCUUGUGCUGCUGUGACAAAUAGGCUACUACAUCAAAUGGUUCUUCAUCUACAGUGGAUGUGGAAUAUUUAUGAGUUUAAAUGUUGUUUGUUCAUGUUUUAUCAAUAAUAAAAGGCAUUCCUAUA